AUUCCAGCUCCAAUAGCGUAUAUUAAAGUUGUUGCAGUUAAAAAGCUCGUAGUUGGAUUUCUGGGAGGGUGCCGCCGUCCGGCGUGUCCGUGUGCAGUGGCGCCCUUCCAUCCUUCUGUUAGCGUCUCUUGGCAUUCAUUUGCUGGUGGCGGGCUCAGAUAUUUUACCUUGAGAAAAUUAGAGUGUUUCAGGCAGGCUAGGCCGGAAUACAUUAGCAUGGAAUAAUGGAAUAGGACUACGGCCUCUUUGUUGGUUUGAGGGACUGCAGCAAUGAUUAACAGGGACAGUCAGGGGCACUCGUAUUCCGCCGAGAGAGGUGAAAUUCUCAGACCAGCGGAAGACGAACCACUGCGAAAGCAUUUGCCAGGGAUGUUUUCAUCG
rnacentral:rRNA from 1 species